UACGAAGGGGGCUAGCGUUGUUCGGAAUCACUGGGCGUAAAGCGCACGUAGGCGGAUACUUAAGUCAGGGGUGAAAUCCCGGGGCUCAACCUCGGAACUGCCCUUGAUACUGGGUGUCUUGAGUCCGGGAGAGGUUGGUGGAACUCCGAGUGUAGAGGUGAAAUUCGUAGAUAUUCGGAAGAACACCAGUGGCGAAGGCGGCCAACUGGCCCGGUACUGACGCUGAGGUGCGAAAGCGUGGGGAGCAAACAGG
rnacentral:rRNA from 1 species